AUGAGCCUAAGAUGGUUCUCAAUUUUUGCCUAUUGUAGUUUAUGGUGCUCUUUUUUCUUUAUAGAAAUUUCGUAUGCUCUUAUGUUCACGUGGAGAGGCAACAUCAUAGCCAAUAUUAAUGUGACUUGUCUGUAUUUUGCUGAAUUUUUAAGCCCUAGUCCUACUCGGUUUCCUAGCGUGUGUGCAAUCCCGAAAUCCAAGUUUACAUCACUGCACACAAAUUUGCUAGGCACCUCUGAAUUUGAUGCAUGCGUCGAUUUGCAUGGGAAGCAGACACUACAGAUUGAUGAAACUUCCACAACUAAAUGCACAGAUGAUGCUUCUUUAUGGCCGUGA
rnacentral:rRNA from 1 species